UCUAAUAGAGGAAUUUGUAUCUAUAAAUCAUUUGUACUUGAGUCAGAAUGUUACCUGGCAGUUGGUGAUGUGAAAAAGGCAUUCAGGAUGUCUGAAGUUGAGAUUAAAAUUGGUACCAAAUGGGUUUACCUUCUUGAAGAUAAAGAUGGCUUUGCUAAGAUGAGAUUCAAAUCUGGAAGUACUUAUCAGCUGCAAGAUUGUCAUCAUUUUAUUCCAAGUACAAAUAAAUGAGGGUCACCAGAGAUCAAUUCUAUAGACAUUCUCCAGGAUUCAUAAAUUUUAACUAUAAUUGGUUGAAUAAUAAAGAUAAUAAUAUGUUAGAAUAAUAUAGCACUUUAUGCCAUCAAGGCUUCUAACUGCUUCUCAUUACUACCCCUGUCAUUGGAUCCUAUGGUUGUAGUGGUGGAACAAGGCAUAGAAUAAGAACUCUAAAUUGAAUUAAGCCAAGUGUAUAAUUUGGCUGUUACCCGGGUGUACUGGUUUAUACAGCCCAUGUGAGCGACUAACGGGAAUGGUUGGUACCAUUUUUUAGGUGUAGAUCAGACAUAAAGUGGAUUAGAUGAGACUAUUGACAAUAAACACCAAUGACAACCCACAAAAUUCCAAAGAAGACUUACUUCUAGCCGAGUCCUUGUGGUGGUGAUUGGCAGUACAAUCCCCUACACUCUCCAAAGAGUUUAGGCCUAUUGCAUUAUUUAUGUGCACUUGCGGAAUAUUGCAUAUAGGACAAACGGCUUACAAGUCGCAAUGUAAAGGGCUUUUAUUUUAGGUUGAUAUUGUGGGUGGAGUCAAGAAUAGUAAAGCAUUUGAAUUUGAUGUGUUUUUGCAUUUAACAGAUUUUAAAGAUGUUGAAAUAUGUGUGAUGACUUGUCCUGAACUAUAUAAAUCCAAUUACACUACAUAAUCAUAAUGUUACUAUUUGUUGAUAUACAAAAGCAUUGUUAAUAAUAAUGCAGUACAUAUUGUGUACGACAAAUAUAUAAAAUAUUCAAUUUCAACAAUAAUAAUUGUUUUCUGUUAUAUUUUGAUUAAGGAUUUUGUCCACUUGUUUUUUAAUGUAGAAUCGAUUAUGCUACAAUAAGAGUAAUAAUCUUAUCCUCUUUCAAGAGUAUAUGUUGAGUAUUGUUUAAAUAGAUUAAGUAUAAUUAUGACUUCAGUUGAUAAGGCCAUGUAAAAUAAAAUAAUUGGUUAGCAUCCCCACUCUACUAUCAAAAAGGCCACCGACCCGAUUUUUUUUUUUGAUUUUUUUUUUACAAUACACUCACAAACUCAAUUUAAUAUAGGUUUGUUUACCACCCGUCCCCACACUAGCCAGUCCACUUGCAGUUCUAUGCUCCACUGUUGUUCUAUAGGCCUAUACUGUAGCCACAUAUGGUAUCCAUGAUGCCUGUUGUGUUGAGGAGUGAAUGAUUAUGUCCUCUGUCAAGAGUAUAUGUUGAGUAUUGUUUAAAUAGAUUAAGUAUAAUUAUGACUUCAGUUGAUAAUCAUGUCGAAUAAGUGUGACCUUCAAUAUUAAAGUUUAUGCUACAGAGUGUUUUCUAGUAAACAGUUAGGUAUGUAGGUUUUAUAUAAUAUUGUACUUGCAUUUACUAUAAUAACAGUUUGCAACCUGUCAUUUAAAUUCAUGAAACAUGUAGUUCGUGUAUAUAAUUCAGUUGUUGAUCCCUAUUGUUUGAUCAUGGAGGAAUUAGUUUAUAUGUAUUUUAUUUAUUUAUUAUCCCAGCCAACAGCAAACAUAAAAUUCGCCACUUGCAGGAGGGAACACAAACAUCGAACGGAUACAUAAAUAUAGUAAACAUGAAGAAUACAAAAAAAAUAUAUAUAUAUACAAAAAAUAAUAAUAAUAAUAAUAAUAAUAAUAAUAACAAUGUGAUAAUAAUAUCAGAUUAAGUUUGCCUAAUAUAUAAAAUAUUUCUAACACUGUUAAAUUAUCACUAAAAAUAGCAAUAAUAUUGUCAUGGCAUUAAUUUUUUAUGCACUUAUCAUACUAUUAAUUCCUUUCCAGAUUAUCAAAUUUUCUUUUAAAAAAACUGUUGUAUGUCCAUAUAAAGUCAUGAUGUGCCUAUAUAUGGUCUUGAUGCGAUGUCAUCAUGCCCAUAUUUAGGCAUGUCACAUGUUUUUGUCUAUAAAAUUUGAUAGUCUGGACAGGGCUUUAGUCUGUUCAUUGUAUCAAAUGCAUAGUAAUGCAGCAGUAAUCAGCGCAUGGUGUGGACACACCUUAUUAUAUAGUUAACUAAUUUAUGUAAAUGUGCGUUGAAUUUAGGUCUGAUUGUGAGACAUAGCUUGGGACAUAGCAAUGGACUGACAGGGGUAUACAAUCGUCAUAAAGCCAUUUACAGUAUUAUGGUUCAAUCAAUCCAGACGGCUGUUUAUAGCAACAUGCCCUGUGUGAAAAAUAUUUUUAAAUGUUAGGUACUGGCAAUAUUCGAAACUUGAUAAGGUUUUAAUUAUAACAAAUAAAUGUAUUAGCAACAUUGGAAUGAUCAUCAAAAUAGUUACUGCAAAUCACAGUUAGGGGCAGCUAUAUCACAUCGUAUCAUUAUCAAGAAUGUCCUAAAGUGACCGUGCGAAAGAAAAGGGUUUGGAGGCCACUAUUUAAUUAAAUGUUCUGUAUAAUGUGGGCCCAUAUGCCUACUCAAGUCUCCAUUUCCAACAGUUAUUAAUAUACUGUACCAGAUAACUAAAAAGGUAAAACAUGGCAUUUUUGUUUUGUUAUUUUUAAAGAGAUGUUUCAUUAAAGCAAAUUGAAAUAUGUCUGGAAACUACAA
rnacentral:lncRNA from 1 species